AGCUUUGUGCAGUGGCAGUAUCGUAACCAAUAAGGUUACAAGGCGCAAUUAUUGCUCAUUGAAAAUUUUUCCCAAUACCCUGCCAUGACGACUUGAAAUAUAGUCGGUAUUGGCAAUUUUUGACAGUCUCUACGGAGA
rnacentral:snRNA from 1 species